rnacentral:rRNA from 1 species
AAUCAACGCUGGCGGCGUGCCUCAGACAUGCAAGUCGAACGAUUAAGACUUCCUUCGGGAAGUGUAUAAAGUGGCGCACGGGUGAGUAACACGUAAGUAAUCUACCUUCGAGUGGGGAAUAACAUCGGGAAACCGAUGCUAAUACCGCAUAAUGCAGCGGCAUCGCAAGAUGACAGUUGUUAAAGGAGCAAUUCGCUUGAAGAGGAGCUUGCGGCAGAUUAGCUAGUUGGUAAGGUAAUGGCUUACCAAGGCUACGAUAUGUAUCCGGUCUAAGAGGACAGUCGGACACACUGGCACUAAAGAACGGGUCAGACUCCUACGGGAGGCAGCAGUCGGGAAUUUUGGGCAAUGGGCGAAAGCCUGACCCAGCAACGCCGCGUGAGGGAUGAAGUAUUUCGGUAUGUAAACCUCGAAAGAAUGGGAAGAAUAAAUGACGGUACCAUUUAUAAGCUCCGGCUAACUACGUGCCAGCCGCCGCAGUAAUAC